AUUGAACGCUGGCGGCAGGCCUAACACAUGCAAGUCGAGCGAGCGGCGGACGGGUGAGUAAUGUAUGGGGAACUGCCCGAUAGAGGGGGAUAACUACUGGAAACGGUGGCUAAUACCGCAUACUAUCGGAUGUACCCAGAUGGGAUUAGCUAGUAGGGGGGGUAAAGGCUCACCUAGGCGACGAUCCCUAGCUGGUCUGAGAGGAUGAUCAGCCACACUGGGACUGAGAAAAGGUCCAGACUCCUACGGGAGGCAGCAGUGGGGAAUAUUGCACAAUGGGCGCAAGCCUGAUGCAGCCAUGCCGCGUGUAUGAAGAAGGCCUUAGGGUUGUAAAGCACUUUCAGCGAGGAGGGGUUACUCGCAGAAGAAGCACCGGCUAACUCCGUGCCAGCAGCCGCGGUAAUUC
rnacentral:rRNA from 1 species